UAGGGAGACCUAAUCCAUUUAGAAAUCGAAAACAAUGAAAAUUGUCAAUAGAAACUAAAUUGGUCUAACCUAGGUCGUUCGAGAUUGGUGGACAUCUUUCAAAGUAUUAUUCGGCUUCGUUCAAAACCAUAUAUAAUAAAUGGAAAAAGACAGCACCUAAUUGUCAAAGUUAGACUGCUGGAUGAAGUUCCAGCCAGAACCUUGAAAACUGCAUAAGAGAACAAGAAAAAGCAGGCAGACACAGACAUUUAGAUGGAUGUGGAAGCAAAAGAAAUUGU
rnacentral:misc_RNA from 1 species